rnacentral:rRNA from 1 species
GAUGAACGCUGGCGGCGUGCUCAACACAUGCAAGUCGAACGGACCCGAUCUUCGGAUCAUAUGGGUGAGUGGCGAACGGGUGAGUAACACGUGAGAAACCUGCCCCGAAGUUCGGAAUAACUCAGAGAAAUUUGAGCUAAUACCGGAUGUCCUUGUCAGACCGAGUGGUCGGACAAGGAAAGAUUUAUCGCUUUGGGAGGGUCUCGCGGCCUAUCAGCUUGUUGGUGAGGUAAUGGCUCACCAAGGCAUUGACGGGUAGCUAGUCUGAGAGGACGAAUAGCCACACUGGGACUGAGACACGGCCCAG